rnacentral:rRNA from 1 species
ACUUAAAUUGAAGAGUUUGAUCAUGGCUCAGAUUGAACGCUGGCGGCAGGCCUAACACAUGCAAGUCGAGCGGUAGCACAGAGAGCUUGCUCUCGGGUGACGAGCGGCGGACGGGUGAGUAAUGUCUGGGAAACUGCCUGAUGGAGGGGGAUAACUACUGGAAACGGUAGCUAAUACCGCAUAACGUCGCAAGACCAAAGUGGGGGACCUUCGGGCCUCAUGCCAUCAGAUGUGCCCAGAUGGGAUUAGCUAGUAGGUGGGGUAACGGCUCACCUAGGCGACGAUCCCUAGCUGGUCUGAGAGGAUGACCAGCCACACUGGAACUGAGACACGGUCCAGACUCCUACGGGAGGCAGCAGUGGGGAAUAUUGCACAAUGGGCGCAAGCCUGAUGCAGCCAUGCCGCGUGUGUGAAGAAGGCCUUCGGGUUGUAAAGCACUUUCAGCGGGGAGGAAGGCGGUGAGGUU